rnacentral:lncRNA from 1 species
CAUUUAUUUUCUUUACUUUCAAUUUCUUUUCUUUUUUCAAUUAUUUUUUUAGCCAAAUAUUUUGUAAAUACUUUACAUCAAACAUUUAUUUUAUUUUCCGAUUAAUCAUUUAUUUUUUAUCAUCUUUAAUUAUGCCAUUUUUACCCUUGUGUUUGAUUAUGGUUGAUGACAAAUCUAUUUAUCAUGGUACUUGAUAUUAGGGUUGACUUA